rnacentral:lncRNA from 1 species
GGGGAGGAGAGGAGCUGUAGGGAAGGGGGUUGUGCAGGCGCUCGACGCCGCAGCCUUGGCCCGCUGCGGGGGAGGGCCGAGAAGGGCACUGGGCGCCCAGAGUAACCAACACCGAGACGAAUAGCGAGGGCUCGGGGAGAAAAAACGGAGGAUGGCAAACGGCAAAGCCAAGGGCACGAGGUAGCGCAGCGCGCACCCAGAGGCUCCUGGGACGGACACCACCCCACGCUCACGGGUCCUCUGGCGGUGUCCUUUGAGCUGCCGGGACGGCGCAAGGUGGCUGAGCGAGGCUUUUUGCUCGGUGCUUACAGGGAGUACCUGAGAUGGUUUGGGAAAGGAAACAGGGGGUCUCAGACCGCUUGGGUGCAGCGCUCUCCCCAUGCGUUUGAGUGCAGAUCUGUCGAGACGCCCCAGCCUUCGCCACCCCACCAAGCUCUCAGAAACCUGUUUAUGCACCCUGCUGCAAUCCCACCACCUGCCCAGGCCAAGUGAGCCCCUCUCCGCUACUGGUGUUUCAUAAUGCUGGGAGCUACUUUGAUUUCAUGCAUUGCCCUUCAGCUGCCAUGUUAUGAGGACACUUGGAGAAAGCUACAGGAGAGGAACUGAGGUCUCCUGCCAUCAGCCACUUGAGUGAGCAUGGGAGUGGAUUCUCCAAACUCCAGUUAAGACUUGAGAUGUCCACAGUGGCAGCCACUAGCUUGACUGCAACUUACGAGAGACACUGAGCCAGAGGCACUCAGCUAAGUCAUACACAGUUUCCUGACCCGUAAAACCUGUGACACAAUGAAGGUUUGUUGUUUUGGGGGUAAUCCGUUAUUCAGCAAUAGAUAACGAAUACAGAAGGCUUGUAAUUGUAUAACCAACGUGAGUUUAUAAGCGGAUAUCUGACCUCAUUUGUUUUCUCCUGAAAAAGUUAUAGAAAAAUCACAAGACUGCAAGUCACUCUCUCUCUUUCUUUUGUGGGGAAUAAACAAGUAUAAUUACAAUUUCUAAACCUAUUGUUUUAUUCUCAAAUAUAAUUACAAUUUAAACAGGAUAUUGUAGAGCUCCAUCAUAGGGAUUAAC